CAGAAAGGAAGCUGCAGUCAGUGAUGGGCUGACUGACAGGGGUCUCAGGACAGCACAUUCUUUGGGAUUGGACACAAAAUGAUAAGUGAGCUCCUCUGUCCAGGGCUCAGGGGUCCUGGGAAACUCGCCAUUCUUUGGAUAACAUGGGAGAGGAUUCUCUGCAGCAAUCCCUGGAAGAGUAUUGGCUGCUCUUCCUUCAGUGAUGAAGAAUCAGAUCUUCUCCGUUUCUCCACUGCUUCAAACUGCGUGUCCAACAAAGCCUUCAGAGGAGAGAGAAAACCAACUGACUGAUAAAGCACUCAUGAAAGAGUGAGGCGCGGGAGCUGUCAGCUCCCCAUUUUGGCAGAAACCCCAGAGCCCUGCCUGACCUGGGGCAACUUUUGCACCAUUUCUAUCCUGACUCCAUGGCCUCGAGAGCUGCUUAGUGCCAG
rnacentral:lncRNA from 1 species